rfam:Streptococcus uberis strain CAIM 1894 contig_005, whole genome shotgun sequence.
UUUUCGUUGAUUUAAAUCAAACCUGUUAUGAUUUAAGUUUGCGAAGCACCACAACCACAUUGUUUGCUGAGCAUGACUCCGAGCAGUGUGGUUUUUUU